GAAUCCGUGUCCUGAACACUUUUAUUUCCAGUCUUUAACACAGGAAAAAUUUUUAUUUAUUAUAUACAAAUUGAUAAUGAGCAUACCCAAUUGUACCGGAGGAAACUCUAGUGAUCAGUUACAGUGACACAGGUCACAGAUGACUGAGCAAAAGAAUGUCUCUGUUGUUUCUAUUUAAAUACUUAACAGCUUUGGUCAUGCAUUUCCCACCAAAAAGCAGGCGAGACAGAAAAACCCUGCACUAAAGACACAUUCCAGGAAUGGUGAGGAACAGACACCAGCAUCACAAUCGUGAUACAAUUUAACACUUGGUUUUCGUUUGAUACUAACGACAUUAUUUAAGUGGACUGAAAGAUAAAGAAUGCGUGGAACAAGCUUUCAAUUUCAGAAGUACAAAUUGAGGGCUAUAGAAACCGACCAUUAGUGUAAAUGAUUGGUCUAUUUAUAACAAAAAAUACGUACUCAAAGUGAGUAAAGUCAAAGUCACCAAAACUCCGUUCCUAUAUCUGGGUGCGUGGUAGCAACCUGCAGACUACUACAACUUUUUUUUUUUUUUGCCUGGGGAUUACUCACCUAGAUAAGCUUAUAGAUAAGUUAUAUGUAUGAAUUUACUUGGGGUUUCUUUAUGAAGAUCUCAAAACUUUAAAGGCUCCCCCUUGUGGCAGUCCUCUUCAGUAGUUCCCGUGUGAAGUGACCGAAGGAAAGCACGUUUUCCUCGCUGGUUGUCACUGCUCCCCUGACAGCCCGCAGCUGCCUCUCUCUGGCAGUCCCACCAAGGACACCCGGCCUCACUGUUUUGUUUGCAGUUCCACCAAAGACGGUUCGCUUUCCCCCUGCUAUUGCUCACUACAGCAGCUGCCGGUGGGAACCUUUCUGCAGUUUUCACAGGAACUUGUAUCCCGCCUCAGCUCUACAUGAAAUCUACAGUGAAAUUCGUGAUUAUUUUUUUCCCUUUUGUGACUCUUUCUCAAGGUCAAUUUUAAAAGACGUACACAGUAUCCAACUGUCUUUGCUGUGUAUCCCUGUAAUGCAGAUGUACCUGGAGGCAUAUCUUUUGGGAGUUCAGACUGGAUUAGAGGAGGUUCUUCACCCAGAGGGCGGUUGAUCACCGGAACACGUUCCCAGGGAAGGGGCCGUGGCACCAAGUCUCCCAGAGUUUGGACAGUGCUCUUAGUCACAGUGUUUAGUUUAGGGAGUACCGUGAGGAGCAGGGCGUCGCACUCGGUGAUCCUUACGGGUCCAUUCCAACUCGGCACGUUCCUGUGGACGAACCACCGGGCCCCACGCGGCACCGGCGGCCCCGGCUCCGGCUCCUCCUCCUGCCGCCGCGGCGGAGGCGGUGCCGGGCCGCGCUCCGGCUCCAGUCCCACAGCGGCAGCGCGGGGCCCGCCAUGGCCGCUGCGCGCCCCCGCCGGCGCCGCUGACAUGGCCCGGGCCAGCGGCGGGCGGCAACUGCCGGAGCAGCUCGCUGCGGAGCCGUCCGCUGCGGAGCCGCCGGAGAGUUACCAGAUGCGGCAGGAGAACGAGCUCCAGGUGCUGGAGUCCAUUUACGGGCAGGACUUCCAGGACCUGCGGCAGAGCCAGGCCUGGAAGGUACGACAACCUCCUGAAAUUAAUUUAGUUCUGCGUCCUCAGGGAUUGACUGGUGCUAAUGAAGUGUAUGCCAAAGUUGACCUGUGGGUCAAGUGUCCACAUACUUACCCUGAUACAGUACCAGAAAUACAACUAAAAAAUUCAAAAGGCUUGUCAAAUGAGAAAAUAAAUGAACUAAAAUCCAGACUAGCUGAAUUAGCAAAACAGCGCUGUGGAGAGGUGAUGAUAUUUGAACUUGCUGACCAUGUACAGUCUUUUCUUAGUGAGUAUAAUAAACCACCUUCCAAGUCUUUUCAUGAAGAAAUGCUCAAAAAUCAUCAGAAAGAGCAGGAAAGAUUGGCUCAAGAGGAGUUGCGUAAGGCACAAGAAGUUAAGAGAAGAGAGGAGCAGGAGCAACGUGAAAUCCUUAACGAGAUUCAAAGAAGGGAGGAAGAGAAAAGGGAAGAAAGAAAAAAGAAAGAGAUUGCCAAACAGGAACGUUUGGAAAUAGCUGCUCUGACAAAUCAAGAAGAUUCUCACAGGAGAGAUACUGCAGGACAUAGAGUUGCUUCACGCUUAAAUGGGAGCUGUUUGGAACAUGGGGUGAAUAAUAAACACCGACCAAAUUCAGCUGGACGUUCCAAACGAGAGCGCCAACUUUCUGUUAGUAAUAAUGAAGAGUCCCCUGGAAAUCACGAAGUUCUGAACUUCAGCACAAGUGGUGCUGGACAGCUUACUGUCCAUAAAGGAAAAUGUCUAGGCAGAGAUGAACAGCUUGGUAAAUCUGUCUACAAUGCCCUGGAAAUUCACAGUGGAGAUUUUGUUCUAAUAUAUGAGUGGGUUCUGCACUGGCAAAAAAAGAUGGGAAAGUUUCUUACAACUCAUGAAAUAGAAAAGAUUGAGAAGUCUAAGAAACAGCUUCAGGGAGCAGAAACAGAGUUCAACUCACUGGUGAAGCUAAGUCACCCAAACAUAGUACAUUACAAAUGCAUGAACCUCAAAGAACGGGACAACUCCAUUGUGGUGGAUAUUUUAGUGGAGCACAUAAGUGGGUGCAGCCUUUCUACAUACUUGGACAAAGAGACUCCAGUUCCCGUUGAGCAGUUGCGCCAUUAUGUGAUCCAGAUCUUGUCAGCUCUCGACUACUUGCACAAUAAUUCAGUAGUGCACAAGGUCCUUUGUGCUUCCAGUGUCCUGGUGGAUGCUGAAGGAAACAUCAAGGUCACAGACUACAGCAUUUCCAAGCGCUUAGCUGACAUCUGCAAAGCUGAUGUUUUUGAGCAAACCAAGGUUCGUUUUAGUGAGGAUGGUCUUCCCAACAAACCUGGAAAAAAAGGAGAUGUAUGGCGUCUGGGCUUGCUUCUGCUUUCACUCAGCCAGGGCCAAGUAACCAAGGAGUUCCCAGUUGCUGUGCCUACCAGUUUACCUGCUGACUUUCAAGACUUUCUAGAAAAGUGUGUUUGCUUGGAGGAUAAAGAAAGAUGGACUCCUCAACAGUUGCUACAACAUAGUUUUAUAAACAUUCCACGAAUAAAAAUACCUGUAGCUGAAGAAAAUCUAGAUGAUUCAGCAGGUAUAGAUUGCAUAGAGACAGUUGUACCCAGCAGUCAGAUAUCCAGUGCUUCGUUCUUCACAGAAACACAGAGACAAUUUUCACGAUACUACAAUGAGUUUGAAGAGCUAAAAUUACUUGGUAAAGGGGCUUUUGGAGCAGUCAUCAAGGUGAGAAAUAAGCUUGAUGGUUGCUAUUACGCUGUGAAACGUAUUCGCAUAAACCCCAGCAGCAAGCAGUUCCGGAGGAUUAAGGGGGAAGUGACGUUGCUUUCCCGCUUGAACCAUGAGAAUAUUGUGAGGUAUUACAAUGCUUGGAUAGAAAAACAAGAAAGCCCUGUCCCCACUGUGUCAACAUGUGAAACAACUGACGAGAGGAGAAUGCCCCCCAAAGCUGGUCUCUUCAUCCUUUCCACUGAGGAGACAAAUGAUGUGGAAACUAAUGCUCCUCCUCCGUGUUUGACAAGUUCAGUUGAGUGGAGCACUUCAUGUGAAAGAUCCUCCAGCAACAAAUUCAGUGGAACUGAUCAGGAGUCCAGCGAUGACGACGAUGAUGGUGAUGGCGUGUUCUCCCAUUCAAUUUUGCCAACCACAGAUUCUGAAAGCGAAAUAAUUUUUGAAAACGAAGAUGAAAAUAGUAAAGGUCAUUCUCCAAAUGAAGAAGGCAAUGAAAAGAAUAGCCAUGGAGGAGAGGACAGGACACCAGUCAUUCAGACAGUGCAUUAUCUGUACAUUCAGAUGGAAUAUUGUGAAAAGAGCACAUUAAGGGACACUAUUGACCAAGGGUUACAUGAAGAUACCAGUCGGCUUUGGAGGCUUUUCCGAGAAAUUUUGGAUGGCUUAGCUUACAUCCAUGAGAAGGGAAUGAUCCACAGAGACUUGAAACCUGUGAACAUUUUUUUAGAUUCAGAUGAUCAUGUGAAAAUUGGUGAUUUUGGUUUAGCUACAGAUUAUCCUGCAAAUGCAGUGGUCUCUAAACAAGAGGAAAAUCUCUCGGAUGGUUCUGCUGUGUCUGACCCAUCAGGUAACUUGACAGGGAUGGUUGGCACGGCUCUGUACGUCAGCCCAGAGGUCCAAGGAAGCACUAAAUCUACAUACAAUCAGAAAGUGGACCUGUUCAGCCUAGGUAUAAUAUUCUUUGAAAUGUGUUAUCAUCCUAUGAAUACUGCAUCAGAAAGGAUCUUUGUUCUUGGUCAGCUAAGGCUGCCUGCGAUUGUAUUUCCUAAGGACUUUGAUGAAGUCAAGCAUGCAAAGCAGAGAUUGGUUAUUACAUGGCUCCUCAACCAUGAUCCUGCAGCACGACCAACAGCUGUGGAGCUGUUAAAAAGUGAACAUCUUCCACCACCACAAAUGGAAGAGUCUGAACUCCAUGAAGUCCUGCACCACACCUUAGCAAACGUUGAUGGCAAAGCCUACCGGACUAUGAUGAGUCAGAUAUUUGCACAGCGUAUAUCUCCAGCAAUAGACUAUACUUAUGACAGUGAUAUGCUGAAGGGUAGUUUUUCUAUUUGGGCAGCCAAGAUACAGCAGCAUGUAUGUGACAUUGUCAGCCGGAUAUUUAAAAGACACGGAGCCAUCAAGCUGCAUACUCCACUGCUGAUGCCCAGAAAUAAGAAACUGUAUGAACAUAAUGAAGCUUCAUAUUUCAUGGAUCACAGUGGGAUGCUGGUAAUGCUUCCUUACGACCUCAGAAUUCCUUUUGCAAGAUUUGUAGCUAGAAAUAACAUCUCCAACUUGAAAAGAUACUGUAUAGAGCGAGUUUUCAGACCUCGGAAGUUAGACCGCUGUCAUCCCAAAGAACUCCUAGAAUGUGCAUUUGACAUCAUUACAUCUACUGGAAAUAGCUUUUUGCCUAUAGCAGAAACAAUUUAUGCAAUUUCAGAAAUCAUUCAAGAGUUUUCAGUCCUACAGGAAAGAAAUUACAGUAUUUAUCUAAACCACACUGCCUUACUGAAAGCUAUACUUUUGCACUGUGGGAUACCAGAAGACAAACUCAAUCAAGUCUACAUCAUUCUCUAUGAUGCUGUGACUGAAAAGCUAACUAAAAGAGAAGUAGAAGCCAAGUUCUGUAAUCUUUCUCUCACAUCAGCUAGUCUUUCUCGACUCUAUAAAUUCAUUGAGCAGAAGGGAGAAGCAAGUAAUGUAUUUCCCUUUCUAAACACAAUGAUAAAACAAAAGCCAAGUGUCACUCAGCUGCUGAAGCAUGGCAUGAAGGAUUUAGAGGAAAUCAUUGGUCUGUUAAAGCAACUGGGAAUUAAACUUCAGAUCUCUAUAAAUCUGGGACUAGUUUACAAAAUACAGCAGCACAAUGGUAUUAUCUUUCAGUUUAUAGCAUACAUCAAAAGAAGACAAAGAACUGUGCCUGAAAUUCUGGCUGCAGGAGGCAGAUAUGAUCAUCUGAUUCCACAGUUUAGAGGGCCGCAGAUGGUAGGACCAGUUCCUUCAGCUGUUGGAGUCAGCAUAGCUAUAGAUAAAAUAACUGCUGCUGUUUCCAGUCUGGAGGAUUCUGUUUCUGUCAGCUCCUGUGACCUGCUGGUUGUAAGUGUUGGUCAGAUGUCAAUGGGUAGAGCUAUCAACAUUGUUCAGAAAUUCUGGACUGCAGGAAUUCCAGCUGAAAUAAUGUAUGACUGGUCCCAGUCCCAGGAAGAACUGCAGGAAUACUGCAGGUGCUCUGGGAUUACAUAUGUGGCUCUGGUGUCUGAGAAAGAAGGAAGUCAUGUGAAGGUGAAAUCCUUUGAGAAAGACAGGCAGACGGAGAAAAGGAUUUUGGAGUCUGACUUAGUAGAUCAUCUGAUCCAGAAACUGAAAAUGAAAAUCGGUGAUGAAAGAUGUAGUAGGUGUGUUUGACUCACAUGGAAGUCUUGUAGUGCCUAACGUUAGUGUUAUAGCUCCUGAAAAACUGUCUGCCAGUGCCAGGCGUCGUCAAGAAAUUCAGGUACAAACAAGACUUCAGACAUUCAUUUCUAGCCUGCAACAAAAAACAAGU